rnacentral:rRNA from 1 species
UACAGAGGGUGCGAGCGUUGUCCGGAAUCACUGGGCGUAAAGGGCGCGUAGGUGGCGCGACAAGUCAGUGGUGAAAGUUCGACGCUCAACGUCGAAUCGGCCACUGAUACUGUUGGGCUUGAGCACUGUAGAGGCUAAUGGAAUUCCGGGUGUAGCGGUGGAAUGCGUAGAGAUCCGGAAGAACACCGGUGGCGAAGGCGGUUAGCUGGGCAGUUGCUGACACUGAGGCGCGGACAGCGUGGGGAGCAAAGCAGG